rnacentral:lncRNA from 1 species
ACCCAGAAGAGCGAUUUAGUUUGGCUCAAGUAAUUACAGAUAUAAUGCACAGAAGACCUCGUCUGAAUUUGGAAACAGAGUAUUUUGUUCAAGCCUACAGGCAGGAGGUGGCCUGUCUGCAGAGCCACCAGCAACUUAUCAAACUAGUUCUAAAUUCUCAGGUAAUUGUUUAUUUUAUUUUUUGCUGAUAGUAGCCAUAAUAGCUGUGGCAGUUGUGUAAAUCUGUAACCAUGUUUCCUUUUGUUAGAUUGAUAAGCAGCGUGAGUACCUUGACCGGAUAUGGAGAGGGGAGAGGAGGAGGAGCUGUCCAGAUGAAUAUGGUUUUCCUUUAAGUUUUGUCCCGAAACAACUGGUGUCAGUAGGUGGAAGUAGCCCAGCCCUGAAGAAUGUGUAUCUGCUAGAGCUACACCCAUCCCUGUGCCUGGCAUCUGCAGUGUACUCUGCUCUGGAGCAGGCCCAUGCUGACCUGUGUCAUCUGUAUGGGGUCAGGAAUGUCUCACAGAGAACUGGGCUGGAGCACAGGAUCCUGAAGCAAGCUCUGAUCCACUGGCCCACCAUGGCCACUCCUGGUGCCUCGUACAGCCCACAGAUCCAGAGAGAUUUGUUUUCAGAUGUGUUAAUUGAGGACCCAACCCUGGUCCGAGAAAUCGGCCUCUCUGUUUUGAAGUCAGCAGAGGAGCAGGAGCGGAAACAGGGAAGAGAGAAACAGAUUCUGGCAGUUGAAACAUUUUCCAAACUUCUAGAGCUUGUCACUCUUCGCCACCGCAUUAUUGAAUCAGCUUCAGAGACGGCGCACCUGUCACAGUUGAGAGAUUUACUGAUAGAUUAA